rnacentral:rRNA from 1 species
UACAGAGGUCCCGAGCGUUGUUCGGAAUUACUGGGCGUAAAGGGCUCGUAGGCGGCCAACUAAGUCCGACGUGAAAUCCCCAGGCUUAACCUGGGAACUGCGUCGGAUACUGGUUGGCUUGAAUCCGGGAGAGGGAUGCGGAAUUCCAGGUGUAGCGGUGAAAUGCGUAGAUAUCUGGAGGAACACCGGUGGCGAAGGCGGCAUCCUGGACCGGCAUUGACGCUGAGGCGCGAAAGCUAGGGGAGCAAACGGG